ACUUAAAUGCUCGCUUCAAACUAUCGAUUUAGGAGGCACGUUUAAAAUAAGCCAACCCAACGAUAGUGAUGGAAGACAAAACAUAUGACUUAAAUUCUGAAGAUUUUGAUGUGAAUUCCUAUGUUAAACACAUAAUAAAAGAUCACUCAUUAAAUAAAUUAAUGGAACAAGAAAAUAAUUUGAAGAAAGAGAUUAAAUUAUUAGAUAAUGAUAUGCAAUCAUUGGUAUAUGAAAACUAUAAUAAGUUUAUAAAUGCUACAGAUAUUGUUCAAAAUCUAAAGUGCAAUUUCUCUUCUAUUGAAAGCUUAAUAGAAGAUGUGUCAAACAAAAUGGAUAAAAUUACCAGCUCUCAUAAAAAAUUAUUAGAAGAUAUGAAACCAAAUAAAGAAAAAAUUACAAAAUAUAUAGAGUUAAAUGGAGCUUUAAGAAAAAUGCAAUUUUUAUUUGACCUUCCUGAUCAUCUCAAAAAGUUAAUUUUAUCAAAGAGUUAUUCUCAAGCUCUUAAAGAAUAUAUUGAAGCAAGCAAACUUUUGGAAAAGCAUCAAAACUUUAAAACUUUUGAAGACAUUGCAUCAGAAUGUAAACUAAUUAUGAUAAGUCUACAUGAUGAUCUUUUAAUCAAGGCUGAAAAAUCUGAUUAUAAGGUUCCAGUGUCAGAAUUUUUCGAAAUUUUUGACAUAUUAAAAACUAUGUCUAGCUGUGGGAUCGCUGAAGAGCAACAUUUAAAAUAUUGGGAUAUGCAAUUUUUAUCCCAAAGUUAUCUUGAAAUGGUUAAAGCUAAAUGUUGCGAUCAUGUAAACUUUUUGGCAAACGUUCUCGAAACCCAAAAUUCAACCGAUACCAAAGAUUACUCAAAAUUUUCUCAAGAAUUAUGCCAGGGGUUUUUGAAAAAUUUCGCUUCUUACCUCAUCUACCACAAAAUACUGUUCAAAAACGUCGAAGAUGAAUCCAGCGAUUCCGAACAUCUCUUAUCUAACUCCAUUUCCUUGCAAAUUCUUUCCCUACUAACGAGCCGUAUCCUGUUCCCCUUUUUCGGGUCUGGCCCUACUUGCCAAAGCGAGCACUCCAUAGCCUUGGCCCUGGAUAAGUUGUACUUCGAAACUAAGAAGAUGAGUUGUCAUUUCAGAUUGGACGAAUGGUUUAUCGGGAACGCCUUGAUUCCCAUUAUAGAGGGGAGAAUUAGAGCCUAUGCUGCCUCGAGCUGUUCCAACUUCAAUAAAUUGUCGAUGGAAGUUCGGCAAAAAUUGGCCAAACUCAACGUUAAUUCAUUGACGGAAGGUAGCAAUUACUUGAGGGAGAUGGCCAAGAAUUUUCUUUCGUCCCUUGUCGAAAACAUCAAGAACGUUUUGAGGAAAUUGACGUGCUACACCUCGGUUGAAGAAAUAUCUUAUUCUACGGAACCAGAGUUUGCCGAAACCUUUCUUAAAUCCUUCAUUUUUGGCCAAUUUUUGUUUCCCUUUUUUCGGCAUUUCAUCAACACCCUGCAAAGAUUUGAAGAUGUGAAAGACAAUGGAAUUAUAGAUCAGACUACUUUAAGUUCGAACCAAUCAUUCUCAGCUACCGCUAACUCCUCCCUAUCUCUCUUGUUCUUUUCACGGGUGGCGCUUGAUUUUUAUAGGACUGGAUAUGACGAACUGGUUUCCUUCGCCCAUGAUACCUUCCGCACCAUUCCUCGUCCCAACUCCAUCACUUCCCCUUCAUCAAACUUUACAUCUUUCCCUAAAUCGGAAUCGGCCAAAAAUUCCCAAAAUUACGGGGUCACUGCCCAGGACCAAGUGAUGGUUGGUCAAUUUGAAGCGAUCGCCUCAGCAGGUGUUUCCACUUACGCCCGGUCUAGGGGAGUGUCUAUUAGUAAGCUGGCAGAACGUAGCGCUGCGUCACGUGACUGGCUAGGCGGAGCCGAACCAAGAACCCCCCGAGCCGCCCUAAAGAGAGUUAGAGAAGAAAUCGAAGGAGUGGAUUUAGUGGUAGGCCAAUUGUUCGACGAUCAAAACGAGAAGCAGCAACCACAACACGGGAGUAGCCAUAGCAGUUCCAGAAAAUAUUCUUCUUAUUCCAGGAAUACUACUAACCAAGGAGGAAACAAAUCCUUCAGACCUUUACACUCUGCUAGCACAAUAAGCCGUCCUAACCUACUUCACAGUCAUAUAUCCAAAAUAUUCUCCGAAAAAAUUGUCAUAUACGAACCCGUUAAUUUCAACAAAAAUUCAAUCCUCACUGGCAUCAUUAAAAUAUGCUUGAAAUCAUUUUUGGAGAGCAUCAGGCUUAAAACGCUUAGCACUUACGGGUUUCAGCAAAUACAAGUCGAUUUGCAUUAUCUGCAAUUGUACCUCUGGCGAUUUGUAUCUAAUGAAAAGAUACUUCAAUCUUUAUUGGACGAGAUACUCUCAAGCGCUGCCCUCAGAUGCACCAAUCCCAUCUUGAUGGAACAAAGUGUUGUCGACAUCAUAUGCGAAAAAUAAUACCAUUGGUAUGGAAAACAAGAAUAUGUUUCAUUCAAAUGUAUAAUUUAAUCGAUAAAAAAUACUUUUUUAAAAAGCUAAUGCCUGAUAGUUACCUGUCGGUGUAAUCAAUUAGAUACAUAUGGCUGACCAUCAGUAAAAUCAAAUUUUAUAAAGGUUGCCAAAUAUCAAUAAGUA